UGUUUAUUGUAACAUGUGAACCAACACCUCAAAAGUCAUUAAUUAAUUAGUGACACUUAAAGUAAUUUGUGCAUCAUGCUGUGAUUUCUUUGUUUGUGCAUUCACUCAUAAAGAUAAUGAUAAAAUAAAUAUGCAAAUGGUAAAAAAACAAUAAAAUAUAAUUAUGUUAAUGUUGUGAAUUGGGACUUAAUUUACAAUUCUAGAAAUUUGAGAAGUAAAGGAAAACUACUAUACAAAAUAAAACAAAAUGUGGGAUAAAUGAAACCUUGUCAUGAUGGUUUGACCAAACUACACAAUUAAAAUGGGUUCAAAUUCCCAAAUAGGUUUGAAUUCAAAUUUGGAUUUAAAGGAAUUAAGGAUAAAAGAAAACAGAAAAUAAAAUCCAAAAAGAAAAAGGGAAAACAUGGCAACUGGGCUCACUGCGCGCAUUUCGGCCCAACUAAAGCUUCCGCGCAACCUAGCUCUGUCCGCUUGUCUCGGCCUCACGCUGACUACCGGGGCCCACGCUGUCAGCCGCCUCCCACCUUUCUCACACCGACAGGCUACCCCACCUGUCUGUGCGCUUGCUCGACGGCACAACAGACCCGCACGUACCGCGUCUUCCUCGCCGGUGAUCUCGGCGUCCGUGCAACGACCACGAAGCGUUACUGGAGUAUAAGUACGAGGCCUCUGACUCCCUCCUCACCUUUCCCUCGAUUCUUCCCUCUGCACCGUCACCAGAACGCCUGCGUGUGGCGAGGGAGAUUGCCGCCAUUGACAAUCUCGACGCGCGUCGUCCACCUGGGCUCGUGAAGCAAUCCGAGCGAAAGGAGGAGGAUCUGGCGGGGUGUUACCCUCGCAAUUGGUGUGCGCAGCUAGCUUGGAGCCCGGUAAUCGCUCGCCGGAGGGCGUGCGCAGGCCUGGUCCACGACCGACCGUCGACCAACCGGGACGAGCAAGCUACUGUGGAAACUGAGGUUCAACAAGUAGAGAUAGCUGAGCAGGAGCUCAUUGAAGGCAAGUUGUGCCCUUGAUCACUUACUUUUCCCAGCCAUGUUCUUAUUAAUUUUAAUGAUCUGCAUAGGUUAAUUUUGAUGGGAGCCUUUAUGUUACCCCAGUUUUGAUUACCUCUAUACCUUGUUCACCCCUGAAAUAUUUUUGGGUAGUAUUUGCUAUUGCUUUAUGUGGAUUGGGUAUGGAGAUACACUACUCAUGAUUAUUCUGUUAUUAUCUUGUUACUAUUACUGUUCAUGUUAAGAUCAUUAAAUUAAUGGGAACAUGGAGCGACCACCCGGGAAAACAGUGCUACCACAAGGGUAUAAUGGGACGCUCUUGGCUGACUAAUUAGGAAAGCUAGUGGAAGACUACCUUACCCGAAAGGGGCAAGGGCAGUAGGGGAGAGGUCAGUGCGGGGAGGUCCCUGGUUGAUUUUGCUGCGAUGGCUGUCAGCCAGGAACCCUGUACUGGAUCUUCCUAUAAACUGUAGCGGGUUUUCGGAAGCUAGUGGAACUUUGUAAAGGCCUCGUAGUGGAUCCCUAGCCAUUCACCUCGGUAGUGUCUAAGGGCCUUGCAAACCCAGGCGACAUGGGAUACACGACUUGUGGGUAAAGAUGCGCAACCUCUGCAGAGUGUAAAACUAGUAUACUAGCCGUGCUCACGGUCAAGAGCGGCUCGGACCCUCACAUGAUUAAUUAUGGAACUUAAAUUUAAUUUGACAUUUGCAUCGCAUUUGGGAUUAUUUUACUAUUACUUUUCUUUAUUAUUAUUAAGGUUUGGUAUUUACUUACACUUAGUAAUUGCUAAUAAAAUUUGGACCAACUUAUAAAAGCAAUGCUCAGCCUCAGCCUUUAUUUCAUUGAUCAGCCUUACACUUCAUGAACUCCCACCUUUGGUGAGUUCAUGCCACAUUAUUCCCCACAACUUGUUGAGCGAUGAACGUAUGUGAGCUCACUCUUGCUGUCUCACACCCCCCCCACAGGAGAAGAACAGGUGGUUCAGGAGGAGCCACAAGGCGAGGAGUAUGAUCUGAUCUAGGUGGCGUUUCUCAGUCGACAUUGGCACCGACGAUCCUUAGUUCGUUUUACAUGUAUUCUUUUAUUUUGUAAUAAGUCUUCCGCUAUGUAAUAAAUACUCUGAUGUUUUAUGACAUUUAUCUCUAUACACUCUGUUAUUAUAUAUGUUGUCUUCUUGGCGCAUGUAUGAGAUGCACCCGGCUUUGUCCUUUAAAACCGGGUGUGACAGAAGUGGUAUCAGAGCAAAUGUUGACUGUAGGACGAAACCUAGAUAGAAAUGGACAAAACCCUUACCUACUUAUCUUAUUCUGAAUCAUUCUACACUUACCUCACUCUGAUUCUUUCUACACUUAUCUUGAUCCUGUCUCACUUUCUACUGUUCUACUCUGAUUAUUCUUAUCUUUUCUACUUCAAGACAAGAUGGAUUUCACACUUUGGAAUCCUACAACUAUGAACUUUUUCAGAGAUAAGGAACCUAAGACGAAAUUAAAAAUUAUUUUCUCUAUUAAAAAUGUUGGUUGAUUGUUCUGAUGAUCAAUGUCUGAUUUGCUUCUUUGAUUGAUUGAAGUAGUAUAGACGGGCAUCUUAGCAUGUACCACCAUAAGGCAAUGUAUUAGUUUCAGUGGGUGACACACUAAUCUACUUAACUAAUAAAUCCCCCGCAAUAGCAUUUCUCGUAAUUACUCGCCUUGUCUACAAUUCUUCCUUUCUUACCCUGUAUUUCUAACCUAGAUGAACUACCCCUAUAGUGUUAGAAGAGAGCACUAUAGACGUGAUCCUUGGUAUGUCGUGGUUAAGAAAGGUAAAGGCAGUUUAUACACUAUGCUACAGAAACCAUAGAACUCACCAGUUCCAAAGGAGAAAGAUUUGAAGUUGGAAUUGCAGUAACUACCGCCACCAAACUAGCAGCAUUCUUAGUCGAUGGGAAGUUUGUUGGUGACAACAUCCGUUUGGUUAAGGAUUUUCCGGAUGUCUUUCCAGAGGAGUUGCCAGAGAUGCCACCAGAUAGGGAAGUUGAGUUUGUCAUAGAUAUCUUACCUGGAACUGCUCCUAUUUCUAAAUGAACAUAUAGGACGUCCGUAGAGGAGUUAAAGGAACCGAAGAAGCAGUUAACGGAGCUACAAGAGGAUGGGUACAUUCGUCCAAGUUCUUCACCUUAGGGAGCGUCAGUUUUGUUUGUACAGAAGAAAGAUGGAUCACAAAGGAUGCGCGUGGAUUAUAGGUCCCUUAACAAUGUCACUGUGAAGAACAAGUAUCCGUUGCCCCGUAUUGAGGAUUUAUUUGAUCAGAUGCGAGGUGCUAGAGUAUUCUCGAAGAUUGAUCUCCGAUCCGGUUACCAUCAGAUGAGGAUUAGACCAUCGGAUAUUCCCAAGACGGCUUUCUCGACUCGAUAUGGAUUAUAUGAGUUCACUGUUAUGUCGUUUGGAUUGACCAAUGCACCAGCAUAUUUCAUGAAUUUGAUGAAUAAGGUGUUUAUGGAGUAUUUGGACAGGUUCGUCGUGGUAUUCAUCGACGAUAUUCUUAUCUAUUCUAAGAAUGAAAGUGAUCAUGAACAACAUCUAAGGUUGGUGCUACAGAAGUUACGAGAUAAUGAGCUCUACGCUAAGUUUAGCAAGUGUGAGUUUUGGAUUGACAAGGUGCCAUUCCUUGGUCAUAUUAUUUCUAAUGGAGGAAUAGCAGUGGAUCCUGCUAAAGUGAAGGAGAUUAUGGAAUGGAGAGUGCCCACUACAGUUACGGAGAUUCGGAGUUUCUUGGGACUCGCAGGAUAUUAUCGGAGAUUUAUUGAAGGAUUUUCUAAGAUUGCUAAGCCCAUGACAUCGCUUUUGGAGAAAGGAAGAGAAUUCAAGUGGGAUGAGAAGUGCCAAGAGAGCUUUGAUCAAUUGAAGGAGAGAUUGAUGUCACCUCCAGUAUUGAUUAUGCCAGAUCUGCAGAAGGGAUUUGACAUUUACUGUGAUGCAUGUGGCCAAGGACUUGGAUGUGUGCUCAUGCAAGAAGGACAUGUGAUUGCCUAUGCAUCUCGUCAGUUGCGGAAGCAUGAAUUGAACUACCCCACCCAUGACUUAGAGUUGGCUGCCGUUGUGCAUGCACUUAAGAUUUGGAGACACUACAUUAUGGGAACUAAGUGCCAAGUAUACACGGACCAUAAGAGUUUGAAGUAUAUAUUCACUCAGAAGGAUCUCAACCUGAGGCAACGCUGUUGGUUGGAGCUCAUUAAGGAUUAUGACUUGGAGAUUCACUAUCACCCAGGCAAGACGAAUUUGGUUGCAGAUGCCUUGAGUCGGAAGGAGCAUGUUCACUCCGCUUUCGUUGUCCAGCUACCUGAUGAAUUAGCAAAGGAUUUUGAGAGGCUCAACCUGGGAAUUGUUACACAUACGGAAGGAGUUACUAUUGAAUUGGAACCUACCUUGGAGCAAGAAAUUCGUAAAGGUCAGGUUGGUGAUGCCAAAAUCCAGGAGAUCAAGGAUCUGAUAACAGAGGGUAGAGGCCCAGAGUUCACAGAGGAUGAGCAAGGCACGAUAUGGUUCAAGAAUCGGAUCUGUGUUCCCGAUAUCGAUAGUCUUCGGGAAACCAUAUUGAAGGAGGCACAUGAUUCAGUUUAUUCUAUCCACCCUGGGAGCACUAAGAUGUAUCAGGAUUUAAAGCAAAAGUAUUGGUGGUAUGGACUAAAGAGAGAUGUGGCUGCACAUGUGGCUAUGUGCGAUGUGUGUCGAAGAGUUAAGGCUGAACACCAGAGGCCAGCCGGACUACUGCACCCACUAAAGAUACCUGAGUGGAAAUGGGAAGAGAUUGGUAUGGAUUUCAUUACUGGAUUGCCUCGCACCCAGAAAGGAUAUGAUGCUAUAUGGGUGAUUGUGGAUAGAUUGACUAAAGUGGCUCACUUUAUUCCUGUCAAGACUACUUAUAAAGGUUCUCAGCUAGCAGAGUUAUAUAUGGCUCGGAUUGUGUGUUUACAUGGAGUACCAAAGAAGAUCGUGUCUGAUCGAGGUUCGCAGUUUACCUCACGAUUUUGGAGAAGCUUUCAUGAGAACAUGAGUACGAAGUUGAAUUUCAGUACGGCUUAUCACCCUCAGACUGAUGGACAGACUGAAAGGACUAAUCAAGUAUUGGAAGAUAUGUUGAGAGCAUGUGCCCUUCAGCAUGGUGGUAGUUGGGAUAAGAGCCUACCAUAUGCUGAGUUCUCAUAUAAUAAUAGCUAUCAGGCCAGUUUGAAGAUGUCACCGUUUGAGGCUUUGUAUGGCAGAAAGUGCAGGACUCCCUUGUAUUGGAAUCAAACUGGUGAAAGGCAGUUGUUUGGACCUGAGAUUAUACAAGAAGCAGAGGAACAAGUUCAGCAAAUAAGGGAGAAUUUGAGAACUGCACAAUCCAGGCAGAAAAGUUAUGCUGAUACCCGGAGAAGACUGCUUGAGUUUAAAGAGGGAGAUUAUGUCUAUUUGAAGGUGUCACCACUCCGGGGCAUGAGAAGGUUCAAAGUCAAAGGAAAGUUGUCCCCUCGCUUUAUUGGACCCUUCUUAAUCUUAAAGCGAGUGGGAGAGGUUGCAUACCAAUUGGAGUUACCGGAUCAUCUCGCAGAUGUUCACGAUGUCUUUCAUGUAUCUCAGCUGAAGAAAUGUCUUAGGGUACCUGAAGAACAAUUACCAAUGGAAGACCUUAGUGUUCAAGAAGAUUUGACUUAUGCUGAGUACCCCAUCAAGAUUUUGGAUACUUUGACUCGAGUUACGAGGAAUAAAGUUAUUAAGAUGUGCAAAGUGCAAUGGAGCCACCACGGUGAAGAUGAAGCAACUUGGGAAAGAGAAGAAGAGCUUCGUAUAGACUUCCCCCAUCUUUUCCCUAGAUCUUCUUAAAUCUCGAGGACGAGAUUAUUUUUAAGGGGGGUAGGCUUUGUAAUACCCAAAAAUGUAAGAUGAAAGCAUAGUUGAGAUACAUACAUGAUUUUUGCCUAUGUUUAUUGUAACAUGUGAACCAACACCUCAAAAGUCAUUAAUUAAUUAGUGACACUUAAAGUAAUUUGUGCAUCAUGCUGUGAUUUCUUUGUUUGUGCAUUCACUCAUAAAGAUAAUGAUAAAAUAAAUAUGCAAAUGGUAAAAAAACAAUAAAAUAUAAUUAUGUUAAUGUUGUGAAUUGGGACUUAAUUUACAAUUCUAGAAAUUUGAGAAGUAAAGGAAAACUACUAUACAAAAUAAAACAAAAUGUGGGAUAAAUGAAACCUUGUCAUGAUGGUUUGACCAAACUACACAAUUAAAAUGGGUUCAAAUUCCCAAAUAGGUUUGAAUUCAAAUUUGGAUUUAAAGGAAUUAAGGAUAAAAGAAAACAGAAAAUAAAAUCCAAAAAGAAAAAGGGAAAACAUGGCAACUGGGCUCACUGCGCGCAUUUCGGCCCAACUAAAGCUUCCGCGCAACCUAGCUCUGUCCGCUUGUCUCGGCCUCACGCUGACUACCGGGGCCCACGCUGUCAGCCGCCUCCCACCUUUCUCACACCGACAGGCUACCCCACCUGUCUGUGCGCUUGCUCGACGGCACAACAGACCCGCACGUACCGCGUCUUCCUCGCCGGUGAUCUCGGCGUCCGUGCAACGACCACGAAGCGUUACUGGAGUAUAAGUACGAGGCCUCUGACUCCCUCCUCACCUUUCCCUCGAUUCUUCCCUCUGCACCGUCACCAGAACGCCUGCGUGUGGCGAGGGAGAUUGCCGCCAUUGACAAUCUCGACGCGCGUCGUCCACCUGGGCUCGUGAAGCAAUCCGAGCGAAAGGAGGAGGAUCUGGCGGGGUGUUACCCUCGCAAUUGGUGUGCGCAGCUAGCUUGGAGCCCGGUAAUCGCUCGCCGGAGGGCGUGCGCAGGCCUGGUCCACGACCGACCGUCGACCAACCGGGACGAGCAAGCUACUGUGGAAACUGAGGUUCAACAAGUAGAGAUAGCUGAGCAGGAGCUCAUUGAAGGCAAGUUGUGCCCUUGAUCACUUACUUUUCCCAGCCAUGUUCUUAUUAAUUUUAAUGAUCUGCAUAGGUUAAUUUUGAUGGGAGCCUUUAUGUUACCCCAGUUUUGAUUACCUCUAUACCUUGUUCACCCCUGAAAUAUUUUUGGGUAGUAUUUGCUAUUGCUUUAUGUGGAUUGGGUAUGGAGAUACACUACUCAUGAUUAUUCUGUUAUUAUCUUGUUACUAUUACUGUUCAUGUUAAGAUCAUUAAAUUAAUGGGAACAUGGAGCGACCACCCGGGAAAACAGUGCUACCACAAGGGUAUAAUGGGACGCUCUUGGCUGACUAAUUAGGAAAGCUAGUGGAAGACUACCUUACCCGAAAGGGGCAAGGGCAGUAGGGGAGAGGUCAGUGCGGGGAGGUCCCUGGUUGAUUUUGCUGCGAUGGCUGUCAGCCAGGAACCCUGUACUGGAUCUUCCUAUAAACUGUAGCGGGUUUUCGGAAGCUAGUGGAACUUUGUAAAGGCCUCGUAGUGGAUCCCUAGCCAUUCACCUCGGUAGUGUCUAAGGGCCUUGCAAACCCAGGCGACAUGGGAUACACGACUUGUGGGUAAAGAUGCGCAACCUCUGCAGAGUGUAAAACUAGUAUACUAGCCGUGCUCACGGUCAAGAGCGGCUCGGACCCUCACAUGAUUAAUUAUGGAACUUAAAUUUAAUUUGACAUUUGCAUCGCAUUUGGGAUUAUUUUACUAUUACUUUUCUUUAUUAUUAUUAAGGUUUGGUAUUUACUUACACUUAGUAAUUGCUAAUAAAAUUUGGACCAACUUAUAAAAGCAAUGCUCAGCCUCAGCCUUUAUUUCAUUGAUCAGCCUUACACUUCAUGAACUCCCACCUUUGGUGAGUUCAUGCCACAUUAUUCCCCACAACUUGUUGAGCGAUGAACGUAUGUGAGCUCACUCUUGCUGUCUCACACCCCCCCCCACAGGAGAAGAACAGGUGGUUCAGGAGGAGCCACAAGGCGAGGAGUAUGAUCUGAUCUAGGUGGCGUUUCUCAGUCGACAUUGGCGCCGACGAUCCUUAGUUCGUUUUACAUGUAUUCUUUUAUUUUGUAAUAAGUCUUCCGCUAUGUAAUAAAUACUCUGAUGUUUUAUGACAUUUAUCUCUAUACA